GACGAACGCUGGCGGCGUGCCUAACACAUGCAAGUCGAACGGAACUGUUUUGAAAGAUUUCUUCGGAAUGAAUUUGAUUUAGUUUAGUGGCGGACGGGUGAGUAACGCGUGAGUAACCUGCCUUCAAGAGGGGAAUAACAUUCUGAAAAGAAUGCUAAUACCGCAUGACAUAUCGGAACCACAUGGUUUUGAUAUCAAAGAUUUUAUCGCUUGAAGAUGGACUCGCGUCCGAUUAGUUAGUUGGUGAGGUAACGGCUCACCAAGACCGCGAUCGGUAGCCGGACUGAGAAGUUGAACGGCCACAUUGGGACUGAGACACGGCCCAGACUCCUACGGGAGGCAGCAGUGGGGGAUAUUGCGCAAUGGGGGCAACCCUGACGCAGCAACGCCGCGUGAAGGAUGAAGGUUUUCGGAUUGUAAACUUCUUUUAUUAAGGACGAAAAAUGACGGUACUUAAUGAAUAAGCUCCGGCUAACUACGUG
rnacentral:rRNA from 1 species